UCGGGGUCCGAUUCAGCCAUGCUAGUUGUACGGGUUUAGACCCGUAGCAAAUAGCUCCGUAACACGUGGUCAAACUACCCUCUGGACCGGAAUACCCUCGGGAAACUGAGGCUAAUUCCGGAUACUGCUUUCAUGUUGGAACACAGAAAGUCGGAAACGGUCCGCCGCCGGAGGACGUGACUGCGGCCGAUUAGGUAGACGGUGGGGUAACGGCCCACCGUGCCGAUAAUCGGUACGGGUUGUGAGAGCAAGAACCCGGAGACGGUAUCUGAGACAAGAUACCGGGCCCUACGGGGCGCAGCAGGCGCGAAACCUUUACACUGCACGCCAGUGCGAUAAGGGGACCCCGAGUGCGAGGGCAUACAGUCCUCGCUUUUCGUGACCGUAAGAAGGUCUCAGAAUAAGAGCUGGGCAAGACCGGUGCCAGCCGCCGCGGUAAUACCGGCAGCUCGAGUGAUAGCCACUAUUAUUGGGCCUAAAGCGUCCGUAGCCGGCCGAACAGGUCCGUCGGGAAAUCCACCUGCUCAACAGGUGGACGUCCGGCGGAAACCAGUCGGCUUGGGGCCGGGAGACCAGAGAGGUACGUCCGGGGUAGGAGUGAAAUCCCGUAAUCCUGGACGGACCGCCGGUAGCGAAAGCGUCUCUGGAGAACGGACCCGACGGUGAGGGACGAAAGCUUGGGUCUCGAACCGGAUUAGAUACCCGGGUAGUCCAAGCUGUAAACGAUGCUCGCUAGGUGUGGCGUUGGCUACGAGCCAGCGCUGUGCCGUAGGGAAGCCGAGAAGCGAGCCGCCUGGGAAGUACGUCCGCAAGGAUGAAACUUAAAGGAAUUGGCGGGGGGAGCACUACAACCGG
rnacentral:rRNA from 1 species